AGUGAACGCUGGCGGUAGGCCUAACACAUGCAAGUCGAACGGCAGCACAGUAAGAGCUUGCUCUUACGGGUGGCGAGUGGCAGACGGGUGCGGAAUACAUCGGAAUCUACUUUUUCGUGGGGGAUAACUUAGGGAAACUUACGCUAAUAACACAUACGACCUACGGGUGAAAGCAGGGGAGCUUCGGACCUUGCGCGGUGGAAUGAUACGGUGCCGGAUUAGCUAGUUGGCGGGGGAAAGACUCACCAAGUGGACGAUCCGUAGCUGGUCUGAGAGGAUGAUCAGACAUACUGGAAGAGAGACACGGGCCAGACUGCGACGGGGGGAAGCAGUGGGGAACAUUGGAAGAUGGGAGCAAGGAAGAUCCAGCCAUGCGGGGUAGGUGAAGAAGGCAUUCGGGUUGUAAAGCACUUGUGUUGGGAAAGAAAAGCAGCAGGUUAAUACCACGAUGUACUGACGGUACCCAAAGAAUAAGCACCGGCUAACUUCGUG
rnacentral:rRNA from 1 species